UACGUAGGGGGCAAGCGUUGUCCGGAAUCAUUGGGCGUAAAGAGCGUGUAGGCGGUCCGGUCAGUCGGUUGUGAAAGUCAAGGGCUCAACCCUGGGAUGCCGGUGGAUACUGUCGGGCUCGAGUCCGGAAGAGGAGUGUGGAAUUCCUGGUGUAGCGGUGAAAUGCGCAGAUAUCAGGAGGAACACCAAUGGCGAAGGCAGCACUCUGGGACGUGACUGACGCUGAGACGCGAAAGCGUGGGGAGCAAACAGG
rnacentral:rRNA from 1 species